ensembl:lncRNA
CCGACAUGGGUCUUCCUCUCCCUCUUCCUCUUCCGCUCUGAUCACACUUCGCGCCAAGGAGGAUUUUUUUUUUAUUUUUUAAAGGAGCUGCUGGUCUAAACUAGUCUCAUCACGAUCAAUAAGAAAAACUCAUUUAUUUUUGCUGUGGAUUAUGGACAUCAGGCGGUUCUUUGUAUCAAGCAAACCCGCAGCACAGAAACCAUCUCGGGAUGGAACCCUCAACACAGAGAAGGAACCCACGAAGAAGAAGAAACCUACCACCAAGGUAUUAAUAUAAACCAGAGUCUCUAGUCAGUGAACUGGUCGACCACCAAGGUAUUAAUAUAAACCAGAGUCUCUUCUAGUCGGUGAACUGGUCGACCACC